AAUAAACAUAAAAUUUUUGUUCUAAUAAUAAAAUUUAAAAAAAGGAAAAGAGAAGCAAAUAGGGUAGUUACAAGUCUGGAUAUGCCAGUUCUGAAAGUCCUGGUUCUGUAGGAGCCCUCAUGAAGGGGAGUGGGCUUGCACACCAAGGAAGAGGUUGGAUUUCUCCUAGAGACAUGUGCAUGUUAGAGAGAUGCCAUGCACGUGGAAGGCCCAGUGUACACACCAACGUACAUACCGGAGGAGCCUGUAUCACUGACCUUUGAGAGGCGGCUCAUUCUCUCUUCAUUGUCUUCCAGGACUCGCAAACUUGGAGGCACGUACCAGAAGCAGACAUUUGUGUGCUGAGGCUACAAGGAGGAAAGUGUUUUUGUUGCCUUUCAUGUCAUCUCGGCUCUCCACGGUGGUUUCCUUUUCUUUUGGAGCCCUCAUUCUCUAAGCAAUUAUUUUGAUUACUUGAGGGGAAAAUUUGCCUCUGUCAUUCUGAGGGGUAAUUAUGGAAGUCAUUAAUGACAGGAGACUGGGCUAUUCUCUUCCUGCGGAUAAGAAGCAUCAUCAGAGACCCCCCCAGCACGCCUGUUUAGCUCCUGACCAUCAUGAAAAUUUACCAUUUCCAGACUGCACUUCUGUUCACCAAUGUACCCCCAUUAUGGAACAAAUAGGGUAGGUACUCAAUGAAUAUUUGCUGAACAAAUGAAUGUAUUAAUCUUAAAGGGCACACAGAUGCUUUGUUAGCCUGUCAGUCUGCAAGGCUCAUUAGAUUUCUCCUUUGGGGACAAAUGAUUUACAUGCUUGUAACAGGCGAACAUAAUCACAGAGGUCUUUUAGUUUCCGGCUCUGGAAGCCCAGGAUCUGGACUUGUGAAAAACAACACUACAGCCUUGGACUGGUGCUGUUUACCGACCUCAGGACACUUCAGGGAAUUACUUUUCAAAAUGGCUUUCCUCCUAAUCCUUUCAGCAUUUAUGGAGCACUAAUGGAAAGCUUAGACAAACAGCUAAUGCUCAUCCCAGGAGCACUUAGAACAGGCCAACCAGUGACUAAUCCAACAUGGAAACUGGAGGAAGAAGCUGCAAUGGACAUAAGAUGGGCCCACAUUCUUAUUUAUAGUCUCAUCAUCUCAGCUAAAAGGGGGAUACAGCAUGGCCAGUGACUUGAACGUCUGAAGCAUCAAAGAAAUCUGAUGGGUUCAGAAAUCAUUUCUGUGGAGAUUGCUGCCCUGGUUGAUCGGCCAAGGAGUCUGACUGGUUCCUGAUGGCUCAAAGGAAGGGCCCCAAAGCUGAAUAUUCAGGCCAGAGCCUACACCGUGCACUAUAUGACUCUGUGGUACCAAGGAUUCGGGGUUGGUUUGGACUGACUUGGCAGUUUGGGUACACUUGGUAGGUACACUUUGGGUACUCCUAGGUAGGAGGAGGGAAGUUAAUUGGUCUCCAAACUGGAUCCUUUGGACCACUCCAGAGUUGGAUUUAAACUUGCAUGUAUCUGAUCCAAGAUAAUAGCCGGGACCACUAGGACUCAUCCUGUCUAGUCACAUGGCCUUGGCUAAUCUUACUGGUCCCAUUGGAAUGAUGGUGCUUGUCUGAUCUCCCAUAUAGGGACAUGGUAAAAGUAAAAUGAAUACUCUGAACAUGAGUUUGAUUGUAUCACAAAGGCAGUGGGAUUAUCAGAGACUAGAAUGGGAAUCUUCUCGCUUUUGCUAGUCUAGGACUUCACUUAAGAUGAUUAAGGAGUAAACUGAUCAUCCUUUAGUUGAAAGCUAAAGAGGUACAAGGGGGAGUGACACAGGGAACUCUAGUUUGCCCUUAGAAGCCUGGCCUCUCUUGAUAUUGGAUAUUUAUGGGAAGAAGAUCCAUGUUUUAUUUCUAUAGUUUGGAAGGCUUUUACAAGAUUCUCAAAAAUGCGUUCAUUCAUCAAAUACAUGUUGAGUAGUUGUCACAUGCCACACAGUUCCUAUUCUGAGGAUGACAACGGCACAUGGAAAACUUUAUCACCAUGACCUGGGUUGCUAUGAAGGAGGCUGAAGGCUCCGAGGGACACGUCUAAGUGAAAGUCUAGAGCCCAGUGUCAGAGUUAUGCUGAGGGAGCUUCAGGAGAAAGGUGGUUUUAUUUUCUCCCUCAUUGCCUACACACUUAGGAUUGGUGUAGACUUAUCUGGCUGAAGUGGACACUCCACAAGGGCACAGAUUGGUGUUUCCUUUGUUCACUACAGUCUCCAUCAUACCAGCAGGGUUGGCAUACAUUAGGGGUUCCAUGCACAGUGGUUGAAUGAGUGGAUGAAUGAAUGGAGGUGUAACUUUUCCUCCCUGGGGCGGUGUUUUGACACAGUAUGUUCUGAGGAACCAUCUGUAUCAGCACCAGAUCAACUGUGUUAUUAAUGUAAAUUCUCGGGUCCCACCCUAGACCCCCAAGUUGGUAUUUUAGAAAGAUGAACACCGCGUAUAUCCACUUCUUCAGUGAUGCCACUGUCUACCAGCGUUCAGCUGCUGCAGCUUUGUUGUCUCCAGGGCCUGACACCAUCAGUGUUGUUCACGAGUCUUCUCUGCUUCUUGAAACCCUCAUCUAAUGCUCUCAGGCCCCAGAAAUGUGGGUCUGCAAUAAUGAUUGAAUCCUUUGCUACCAUCUCCAUUUCUAUGGCUGCCCCCCUACCUAGGCCCUCUUUUUACCUGGAUGGUAGCUCCCUAAUUACCCUUCCAUCAACCUGGACUCUCCCCUAGCAUCAGAGUAUGCAGGAGAGCUCCUGCUAGACCUGCAUCCCAUGGUGUCCUCCCAGCUCCACUGGCUGAAAUUCUAUGUAUUCUACCUGUCCUGCUCUAGACCCAUCUUUUUUAAAAAAAAAUUCUUUUUAAGUUUAUUUAUUUGUUCUAGAGAGAGUGAGAGCAAAGGGGGAGGGGCAGAGAGAGAGGGAGAGAAAACAAGAAUCCCAAGAAAACUCCAUAAGACAGGGGUAGAGCCCCACGCAGGGCUCAAACUCAUGAACUGUGAGAUCAUGACCUGAGCAGAAAUCAAGAGUUGGACACUUAACCAACUGAGCCACCCAGGUGCCCCUUGAGGUGACCUCUUAAAACAUCAUUCUUGGCCCUCAAACUCGGGAUGGGCUCCCCAUCCUCAAACUUUUAGGGAGGUGCAUCUAGGUUUCUUUUACAACCAGUUAUAUUCUGUCUUAUGUGAUGCUUAUCUGUGCAUUCAUCUUAUAUCAUCUGGAAAAUUGUGUCCCCUUCAUCCCAUCCAGGAUCAGGCACAAAAACAGAUGCUCAUUAUCUAAUGUAUUAAAAUAAGUUAAUAUUUUAAGAGAAAAUGAACAUUCAUUCAGUCACUCAGCAAAGAGUGUGCCAGGCAUCAAUUUCCCUUUAAUAGUUUUCUCCUGGUAUUUUUUUUUUUUCUCAGCCAUUUGUCAGUCCCUUUGUUAUCUACAUUUUCAAUGAGGGAGGCCAAUCACAGAAAACUAUAGGGAAACCUGCUAAUUUGCAUAAUUUGCAUAACUAUAUACAAACAGAUUUACUGUGAAAACUAGGUAGUUAUAUAUUACACCAUCCUUGCAGGCCUCAAAUCAAGGUGUGUUCACCUAUCUUCCUUCCUUCCUCUCUAUAUCUAUCUAUCUGAGUUUUUAAAACAGUUUUUUAAGUUUAUUUCUUUACAGAGAGAGUGCUCUUGCAAGCCAGCGCAGAGGGGCAGAGAGAGAGGGAGAGAGUGAGAGAGAGAGAGAGAGAGAGAGAGAGAAUCCCAAGCAGGCUCUGCACUGUCAGCGCAGAGCCCGAUGCAGGGCUCAAUCUCAUAAACUGUGAGAUCAUGACCUGAGCUGAAACCAAGAGUCAGCUGCUAAACUGACAGAAUCACCCAGGCACCCCAAUCUACACUGAGUUUUAACCACGAUGGAAAUCUGUGACAUCCAGAAAAUAAUCAUCAAGUCUUAGCAUUCUCUAAUUAAAUGCAGACAAAAUGAAAGGUCUACUCAGUAAGAAAAGAGUUGAGGGCAGGUGGGGGCCUUUGCUUAUCACAGGCUUAGGUAUCUGUCUAGAAUGCCUCCUAGCAUUCAUAUCAAGAGGCUCAUUCUUUUUUUUUUUUUUUUUUUUUUUUGCAUACAUUUGCUCUUAUCAAUUAUCUUGGACUUAAUCUGACGCUGUCAUCAGUGCAUUUAGCUCCACCAGUCAUUAACAGAUUAAGCAAUAUUUAUAUUUAGGUUAGUAUUUUUCCUGUGGUUUGUAUUGCUAAGGAGAAAAAUACGGGUUUACCUUACUAUGGGUAUUCUCCAGGUAUAUCUGAUAACAGAGGAUUUACUGAUUAACGUUAGCUCCUCCUCAGUCUUGUUUUCUCAUUCCUGAGGGGAUUCAAGAUCGAGUCAUCGCCAACUCUUUCACAGUUCUUAUUAGGACAGGAAGACUUCUCCUUCCCUGGCUGGCAUCACUAGAGAGAUGGGGAUGUGGGAGGGUGCUUACCCUCACCUCUCAUCUGGAUUGUAGGACCGAUCUUAUGACUUUUAUAAUUAUUAUCAUCUCAUUUUGCAAAAUGUGCAGCUUUAAGUUGAAAAGCAAACGGACGUUUUUGCCAUUUACGUGUCUAGAUACUUGAGGUUUUGCGUGAGAAAUUAAAGGAAUAUGUAUCCAUAAAU